UUUAAUGUCAAAAAUUCAAAAUUAAAUAUCACAACAUCUAAAGUAGGAUUAAAUAGUUAUCCUUCCAUAUAUACAAUUAACCAAGCAUCAUAUUAAUUACAAGGACACAAAAUAAAUUUGUACAACAUCACCAAUAAUUAAAGUUUGAAAAGAAAAUGAAAAUAAAUUUUGAAAGCAUUGAAUAUCCCCAAUGGCUCAUUGAUCAAUCUCAUUUGAUUCUUGUUCUUUUCAAUGCAAACAAAUAAUAAAUGAAAGUGAUUAUGGAUGUAUUCUGUAACAAAUUCGAAGCUUUGAAAAGAAUUAAUAUCGAUUGAGGCUUCCCCCGUGGCUUUUCUCCUUUUCAAGAAUAAUGAGAUUUGUAACCCUAAGAGCCUUCUUGUCUUGAAUAAUACUUGUAGAUUGAAUCCCAUAAUUCUUCUUCGAUUGUAGGAUGAAAAUAAGCAUUUAUUUGCCUCAAGAUCAGGCCAAAAAUCGUAACUUAGUUGCUUUCCAAAUAAAAUUAGAGAAAAACAAGGAAAUCAAAUUUAUUUCGCAAUCCAAAUAAUCUUCAAUAUGCUCCGAAUAAAUCCCAAUUAAGCUUUAAAAAACAAUUUUCAAGUCAAUUGCAUCCAAGUUGGAAUUUUACCUAUAACUAACAUAUUUACACAAAUUAAAAUAGAUAUCCUCUCAAUAUAACAAUAAAUAAUAAAUAAUAGAAAUUCACAUAAGUGAGUAAUAUGAAUUUAUCAUACACAAUAAUCAAAUAUUCAACCUUUUUCUUGUAAUCGAGACCAGAUCUCUUGACUGCAGGGGUAGGGAUCUUGGGUAGAGAGGGACAGCCUUAAGAUUUGAAGAUUAUGAAUGAAUACAUUAUCAAGGAAAAUUCCUUAACUCAAGCCAAAGACAAGGAAGAUGAUUCUUAGGUUCAAACCAAGGAUAAUCUUAAAAUGUAUCAAGCACCAGUAAAACAAAGCAAGCUGCACAAAUCAAGCAUUUAGAAUGAGCGUGGAAAAUUCUCAUUGACUUGAGCAUUUAGAAAUUAAACUUAACUUAACAAUUUUAUUAUGGCAUUAGACUUGCAAACUUUAACGACAAUUGAUCUACUUUCCAGAAAUAGCUUUCUCCCACAACAUCAACACCCCUGACUUCUUCCCUAACCCAGCCACCCUUUCCAACUGAUAAGCCCUUGAUUGUUCUCAACAUUUCUACUCAGAUUAAUGGGAAGCUAACACCCUCAAUCUUUCCACAAUGGCGUGCCCAAUUUGAAGCCUUCUUCAUCGACUAUGACAAAGAGGGAGGAAAUACACAAAAAGGGCUCUUCCACUGUAGCAAAAUUUGACAUUGGCCUUUGACCCAUUAAAUGAAUUAAAAAAAAAACAAAUUAAGUUAAAAAAAAACUUCACAGUAAAAGCCCAUUUUACCCUUCAGACUAUUUGAAAAUCUCUCACCGACCGCCGACCGACCAGUGCAGAAAUUCGACCGACCGACCGACCAUCGGAGUUACACCAACGUCGCAAUCAACGACCAUCGUCUACACCGGAAAUAAAAUAACGGUUAGUUGUCUGAUCUUUUCUCCAGUUCAUUCGGUUUUCAUGGUAUAACACUUUCCUUAGUAAUUUUGGUUUAAUUAGAUCCAUGUGCAUGAGUAGUUAGAUUGUGGGCAUGCUGGAGUGUGAAAAAUGUGAAUUUUUGGCAUUUUUUGAAACUUAGUGGUCGGGAAUGGCUGUUUUCGGCCGUUCCCGGCCGCCGGCUCGACUGUUAACAGUCUGGGCAGUCUGGGCUGGUGAACCGACCCAGAUUAAAUAUUUAAUUUUAAAUUUUUUUAUAAUUUUUGUAAUUAAUUAAAUUUUUUAUUUGAUUAAAUAGUAAUUAUGUUAUUUAUUUAUUUAAUUUUUUUUAUCAUUGUCAAUAUAAUAUAAUAAUUGAAAUAUUGUAAAAUUAACAAUGUUGAUUAUUUUUUUUAUGAAAUUAUCUUUAAUUUAUUUUUUCAAAAUUUUUUAUGAAAUUAUCUUUAAUUUUUUAUUUCAAAUUUAUUUAAUUUUUAUAUUUGUCUUUUAUAUAAUCUAAUAAUUGAAAUAUUGUAAAAUUAACAAUGUUGAUUCUAUUUUUUUUAUGAAAUUAUCUUUAAUUUAUUUUUUAAAUUUAUUUAAAUAAUAUGAAUAGUCUAAAUUUUAAAAAAAGGUAAAGUAAUUAUUUAUUUAAUUUUUAUAUUUUUCUUUUAUAUAAUUUAACAAUUGAAAUAUUCUAAAAUUAACAAUUUUGUGUUGUUCCUUUUUUUUUAUGAAAUAAUCUUUAAUUUAUUUUUUCAAAUUUAUUUAAAUAAUAUAAAUAGUCUUUACAUUUUUCGAAAAUGUAAAGUAAUUAUUUAUUUAAUUUUUAUAUUUGUCUUUUAUAUAAUUUAAUAAUUGAAAUAUUCUAAAAUUAACAAUUUUGUGUUGUUCCUUUUUUUUUAUGAAAUAAUCUUUAAUUUAUUUUUUCAAAUUUAUUUAAAUAAUAUAAAUAGUCUUUACAUUUUUCGAAAAUGUAUUUAAUUUGAAAUUUUUUGUUUGUAAAUAUAUUUUCCAAAUAAUAAUUAUUUUAUUUAAUUAUUUAAUUUUUAUAAUUUCCUUUUUUAUAUAAUUUAAUAAUUGAAUAGAUAAUAUUGUUCGAAAUUAACAAUUUAUUUUGUUCCUUUUAUUGUUCUUUUAUAAAAAUCUUUGAUUUUUUUUAAUUUAUUUAAAUAAUAUUUAUAUUCUUUAAUUUUUUUGACAAUACAUUUAAUUUGAUUUGUUAUUUUUUGUAAAUAUAUUUUUCAAAUGUAAUAUUUGCGAUUGUAUGGUAGUCAGAGUUCGGUUCUCUUGAUUUUGUGAGAUUAUGCUUUCUUUUGUUAUUUCUUGUUCAAUGCUAUAAUAUUUGAAUUUUUGCAGGAUGGAGUAUCAUUUAGAUGCAGAGUUGAGACGGAUGUCGGGGAAAGCUACUUGGAACAGUAGCUUUGAGAGUUUUACUGCUGUGUUGGAGUUGCUCGAUGAUCAGCAUGGAGAUAUGCUACAACAGUCCUUCUUGUGGCCACUGUACCAGUUGCGAGAGGUGCAGUACUCAGGACAGAUCAUUGAUGCACUUCUAUGUCGGCUUCUGAGGCCAGUCGACGGCUAUUCCCUCCAAUUCGACCUCGGGGGCAAGGUCGUCAGUUUCUCGAUGUUUGAGUUUACAUUGAUCACUGGACUGAGGAUUACGGACGACGAUGCAGCCAUGGAGAGAAGCAGUAGGCUGUACAAGACGUACUUCCAGGGACAUGGGUCGGUGCUUCUACCCGACUUGAUGGUCGCGAUCAGGGGGUGCGACCAUAUGCUAGAUAGAUUGAAGCUUGGGCUGGUCUACAUCCUCGAGAGUGUGAUGAGGUGUCAUCACAAGAAGACUGCCAUCGACAUUUUUCAUUUGCAAGUUGUUGACGACAUCAAUGCAUUCAACAACUAUCCGUGCGGUCGAAGAUGCUACAAAGACACCGUACAUGUGUUCACCAGAUCGCACUCGAGACCCAGGGGAUCGAUGCGUAAAUACGAUACAUAUGGAUUAUCGUUAGCGAUGCAGGUAAAUGUUUAAUAUAAUCAAAGUUAAAGUUUUAGUGUAUUACAUUGAUACUUAAUAAGUGUAUGUGUUACAGAUUUGGGUGUAUGAGAUAGUUCCUGUACUGGGGGCUCGCUUUGCGCAGCGAGGGGAGACACGCUGCCCUCGGAUGCAUCAUUGGAGAUCAUCGCGAGCGGAGGGAUGUCCCACUGGGAAGCAGUUAUCGGCCCUCCUCGACGAUCCUCAGGUAAGUAUUAUGCAUUUGUGAUUUAUAUUAUACGUAGUUUAAAAUUUUGUUUACAUGAUCAUUAAAUAGUUGAAAUGUCAAUAUGUCAGCUUGAAGUCAUACCUGAGUUAACGCCAUCGAUGGAAGAGGAGGCUCAAGGUCUUGUGCGGGAUUUAGGCGUUCUGCACACCCCACACGAGGAGAUGCCUGAUCCGAGCUUGGACCGAGAUUGGGUAUGUGAAUGAAACAUAAUUUAUUGAAUAUGAUCGACGUAUAAAUUUAUUGAAUAAUUUAUUGAAUAAUUUUUCAUUUUAUUUAUGUAGGAGGGCGGUCCAGCUGAUCAACGAUCACCUCCGCCAAGGGCAUCGCCGCCACCAUUGGCAUCAUCUCCGCCGAGAGUAUCGUCCCCGCCAUUGGCAUCACCGCCGCUAGUGGCAUCACCUCCGCCGGGGCCGUCGCCGUCGCCAUUGGCAUCACCUCCGUCCAGACACCUCCCCCGUGUGUCUCCGGGGCACAAUGAUGAUUUGUAUGCCCGUUUAACGGAGAGGGUCGAUGAUCUGGGACGAGAGUUGACAGGGAGGGUCGACGAUCUGGCAGGGAGGGUUGACUAUAUGACAGGGAGGGUCGACGAUAUGGGACGAGAGUUCACAGGGAGGGUUGACGAUCUAUCCCAUGAUGUUGGAAUACUACAGUCUUCCGUUGUCGAGCUUCAGGAUACAGUAGCGGCGCUUAGAGGAGAUUUAGCCGACAGACGAUGGGGGGACAGAGGGGAUGACAGAGAUCAUGAUCGAGAGGGUGGCAGAGAUGAUGAUGGAGAGGGGGGUCACCCACAUUUUUGGCGUGAUGAGACAUUGGAGUCAUUGUGGUUGUCUAUGGAGGGGGUGGCCCCGAUGGGGAUGGGAGAGUGGACUACGGAGGGGGUGGCCCCGACGGGAGGGGCGGAGGAGGUGGCGACGGAGGGGGAGGCCCCGACGGGAGGGGCAGAAGUGGUGGCGACGGAGGGGGAGGCCCCGAUGGAGGGGGCGGAGUAGGUGGCCCCGGAGGUCGAGAGGACGCCCGGCGUGAUUGAGGGUAAGAGACAUGCUGUUGACGAGACGGAGCAGGUGGUCGGCAAGAGAUUGAGAGUGCCGUCACAGUAUGUUGUCUCCCCCUUCACGACUGAGGCCAAGAGGAGGACGUUCAUCGAUGGGAUGUACCCGAACUUAUUCAGAGAGGUGGACAAUGCCAAGUGGAAAGCGUUCGAGACAGAGUGGAGGAGAAUUAUCCCCGGGUAAGUAUUGUAUGAUUUUAAUAAAACACUGUACGCUAACUCGUCUACGCUUAUUUUAACAUUUACCUCUUUUUUACAGAGUUAGCAUCACGAUAGGACAAAGGACGGUCUCGGACCCUUACAAGUGGUUCCACGAUAUCACCACUGCGGGAGCUUGGCUCGCUGACUUUGUAAGUGAAUUAUUCAUUUCAUGUUUUUUAUGUAUAUAUGACCUUGUGUUUAUUAAAUGAAUAACUCAUACUUUUUUGGUGUUUCCUGCUGCAGCACAUCGACCUGGCCAUGGACUUGCUGUGUGAUCGAGCUCAAAGACAUCCAAAAUCAUUUGAUGUCCAUGGUCGAGUCAUAUUAAACACCGAGUUCCUGGGUGCCGUUACCAUAGAGUAUCAGUCGCUCGCACUUAUGGGUAACGAGUACACGGUGCCAGAAUAUAUGCUCGAGUGGGUGAUAGGACUGUCACCGAGUGUCGGGGGAAAAUCAUGGGAGGGUUGUACACAUAUGUACAUUCCAGCAUGCAUCAAUAAACACUAUGUUACGCUGGAGAUCGUUUUUGCUGACUCGACUAUAUAUGUGUACGAGCCAAAUCAUUCAUGUUUGACACAAGGCCAAUUGGAGCAAAACCUGGAGUCCGUGGCUGUAAUUGUUCCUAUGAUGGCCAAACGAGCGGGGAUAAAUGUACAGGACAGAUUGCGGAUCGUUUGGAACACGACGACAGCACGACAGUCCGUAAGGUAAGUGUUUGAACGUUGUUGUUUUCAUCUUUCAGAUUUAGUUUUUAUUUACACAGUACUAAACUAAUUCAUUCUUGUUCAAUUGCAGGGACGACUGCGGCAUAUUUGCCAUUAAGUACGUUGAAUUUUUAAGUAUAGGACAUAAGGUUGAUGAACCAGUCGUGGAUACAGAACUGGAGAAAGAAGUUAGCAUAUAAUUUGUUUGAAUUUAAUGCUGACCCACCCAUAAAUUUCAUUUAUAUAUAUGUAACAUUUCAAUUGUAAAUUUAAUUAUUUUUGUAAUUAUGAAAUAAUUGUAAAUUUGUGUUCAAUGUAUAUAACAUUUCAAUUGUAAAUUUAAUUAUUUUUGUAAUUAUGAAAUAAUUGUAAAUUUAAUUAUUUUUGUAAUUAUGAAAUAAUUGUAAAUUUGUGUUCAAUGUAUAUAACAUUUCAAUUGUAAAUUUAAUUAUUUUUGUAAUUAUGAAAUAAUUGUAAAUUUGUGUUCAAUGUAUAUAACAUUCAAAUUGGAAAUUUAAUUAUUUUGGUAAUUCUGAAAUAAUUGUAAAUUUGUGUUCAAUGUAUAUAACAUUCAAAUUGGAAAUUUAAUUAUUUUUUGUUAUUUUACCCGCAUGCCGAGUAUGGAACUAUUUUUUUCAUAUGAAUUAUUAUAAAUACCAUUUAUAGAGAAUAAAUAUUGAAUAUGGAAGAUUUAUAAAUAACAAAUAUUGAACAGUGUAAAGUAAAAGGAAAUAUUAUUCAUUUCACGUGUCUGUCUAGUCGUCAUUUAGGGAAAUUUGACUGGUACAAAAUUGUCGAGUAUGCCCUACGGCUCUGCACCGGCCACACCUACGCGGUCAAGGAAACUCUCCGGUAGAUGGUAUUCUAGAUGUACUUGGAUGUCCAAGACCACGCGGUUCAACUGCUGGUGGUGACAAAUUAUAAAAUGGGAGAAUGUGCUCGGGAACUUCCCACUCGGCUUCAUUCGGCAGAGGAAAUAUAGUCUCGGUAUAUGCUGUUCUCCAAGACUCAGUCGUAUAAUACAAAGAGCACAACGUUCUCGCAGCAAAGCCUCGAUACAUGACCAUCGCAACUGCAUGCUCACAUGGAAAACUCUCCAACUGAAAUCUCGUACAAGUGCAUGUGUUAUCAGUCAAGUCCACCAUAUAUGCCGUAUUACGUGCACAUUGCACGGAGAAGCAAAACUCAUCUAGUGCUUCCACAUUCAACUUCCUCGCAACCUCUGCCGCCUUAAAUAGUUUCUCCUCUUGAGCUGGGGCCAACACGCUAGUGCAACUCUGUGAUGCCGCACGUCGGUCAUGAAACCACUGUUGUAGCUUGUUACGAAUGUUCUCAAUCAUUGCGAGAAUUGAUAACUCUCGAUCCUUCUUAAACAAUGCAUUGAGAGACUCCGCGUUAUUCGACGUCAUCAUGUUGUAUCGACGUCCUGGAAAGUAUGACCGCGCCCAAUGUUCGAUCCCCAUCUUCAUCAGAUACUCCAACGCCGGUAAUGAUUUACUUCCUAUCUCGAGCAUGAACUUAUUACACUCUUCAGCACUGUAAGCUUCGGCUGCUCUCCUGAACAAUGAAACGAUGCCUGUGCCCCGAUACCUAGUCUUCAAAUUACCUUGUAUAUGGUACAUGCAAUACCCGUGAUGUGCCUCGAGAAAAAUUUCAGCGAUACCGUUUAUUAUAGACUGUCCUUGAUCGGUUACAAAGGCAAGGUAUUCGACUUCCCCGAUCACUUCCCUCAGUUUAGAAAAGAACUAACGCAUGGACAGAUCAUUCUCGCUGUCGACUAUGCCGAAUGCAAUAGGGUAAAUUUGGAUAUUGGCAUCUUGACAUGUAGCAAUAAUUAAUUUGCCUUGAUAUUUAGCUUUCAGAGUCGUACCAUCAACUAGAAUUACGGGUCGCAUUGCAUUUUGAAAACCUCGAAUACNNNNNNNNNNNNNNNNNNNNNNNNNNNNNNNNNNNNNNNNNNNNNNNNNNNNNNNNNNNNNNNNNNNNNNNNNNNNNNNNNNNNNNNNNNNNNNNNNNNNNNNNNNNNNNNNNNNNNNNNNNNNNNNNNNNNNNNNNNNNNNNNNNNNNNNNNNNNNNNNNNNNNNNNNNNNNNNNNNNNNNNNNNNNNNNNNNNNNNNNNNNNNNNNNNNNNNNNNNNNNNNNNNNNNNNNNNNNNNNNNNNNNNNNNNNNNNNNNNNNNNNNNNNNNNNNNNNNNNNNNNNNNNNNNNNNNNNNNNNNNNNNNNNNNNNNNNNNNNNNNNNNNNNNNNNNNNNNNNNNNNNNNNNNNNNNNNNNNNNNNNNNNNNNNNNNNNNNNNNNNNNNNNNNUCGUUUAUGUUCUCAUUGUCUUCAACUGUCGACGGAAUUCUGCGAGUAACAGCGACAUCACGAUCAGAAGCAACUGUCUCAGGAAUACCCACAUCAUCCGCAGGAACUAUCUCCACUGUCUCCCAAAAACCUCGAUCAUUGUUAUCCGCCCUAUCUAAAUCUUCGCGUUCACCUUCGAUAACAUCCUUCGUAAUUAAAGUCACACCAAGAACAGUCGGAAUCCGAUACAUUUUAUUCAAUUCUAAUAGAUAAUUCAAUUCAGCAUCAUUAGUAACAAAUACCGGUGGCAUCAGAAUGGAUGAAUCCCCAUAACCGUUGAAUAGAUAUCUCAAUUGCAUAUCGUAUUGAGAUUGAUCGACAUUCAGCUUAUUUUGCAAAUCGUGAUACAUUUCUAAGUAUGGUGUACUCUCUGUUACGGGAAUUGCAAUACAACCACGUAUGUCACUCGUCCAUCUCCAUUCCCACCGAUUAUUUUCAUUCAAUUCGAAAUCACCGAAAUAACACACGGGGAUUAUCAUAUCUGCAUGAGAAAAUGGUUUUAAUCAACUUCAAUUAUUAAUUAUAAGAAAGAAAAAGGCAUUAAAAAUCAGCUGCAGCCAAUUGGCUGUUUAACAGCUGAACAGCCGGCUGUUGGCUGUUCGGCUGUUUAACAGCCAAGCAGUCGGACUGUUUCCGACUGUUUGUUAAGCUUUAUCCAGUUUGGCGUAGGAGAAUACUGUUCUAAAAACGAAAUUAAGCAUGCGUAAUUUAAACGUAAGUUAUACAUCUGUUUAAUUUUUUUUUGAUAGGUUCUGUUAAAAAAAAUCCAUGUCGACAUAAAAUUUCUCUAUUUAAACGUAUACUAAUUUACUUAAAACGAAAUUAAACAUGUGUAAAUGUACUUACCGAUUUGAAGUAAUUGAUGUGAAAAAAAUUUCCAGCUUCAACGUUCCAAAGUUCUUCUAGAUUUUGAGGUUCAAGCAGAUGAAAAGAUGAGAGUUUUUUCUGUGUUGGAAGCUCGUUUUGAAGUUUUUAUAAGUGGGGAAAUGUUUGGUUUUCAAUUAUUAACUAAAAGGGUAGUAUAGUCCUUUCAACAAUAUAUUGUUUUGUAAUUGUACAAAACAUUUAAGGGCAUCUUUAUCUUUUACUAUACAAGAGGCCAAUGUCAUAAAUAUUCAUGAUUUUGGAAGUCAAAGUGAAAUUUAGCUCCUUUGACUGGGUCAAACUUAAAAGUACCCUAUCAAUUUGACUAUGUCAUUGGAGACCACUCACGUCCCAUCCCUAUUGGCACUGCAACUUUCACCCUUUGGCACUGCAACUUUCACCCUUCAAAAGACCCCUUGGAUCCGACUGUAAAAACUUAUCCUUAAUGCUAUGCUAGUCUCUACCACCACAACUAUCACUCCAUCAUCUCAGUUGCCAAAACAUCCCAAGAAGUUUAGAAGAAUUAAAACACCAUGUAUGUGAGUAAAUCACAAACUUAAGCAAUGCAACUAAAGGAGGAGCUUACCCUAAUUCAGAGGGGCAAUCAAUCCAUGCCCUAUUACCUGCACGAGGUGAAAGCCCUUGCAGAUAAGAUUGCCUCAUCGAUCAUC
rnacentral:lncRNA from 1 species